CUGGGGCAGGAUGAGCGCUCCUUUCCAAGAUGGCGGCGGAGGGAGGUGGGAAGGAGAUGAACGAGAUUAAGACCCAGUUCACCACCCGGGAGGGGCUGUACAAGCUGCUGAGCCACUCGGAGUACAGCCGGCCUAACCGCGUGCCCUUCAACUCGCAGGGCUCCAACCCCGUCCGCGUCUCCUUCGUCAACGUCAACGACCAGAGCGGCAACGGGGACCGGCUCUGCUUCAAUGUGGGCCGGGAGCUCUACUUCUAUAUCUACAAGGGGGUCCGCAAGGCUGCGGACUUGAGUAAACCAAUAGACAAAAGGAUAUACAAAGGAACACAGCCUACAUGCCACGACUUCAAUCAUUUAACAGCCACAGCAGAAAGUGUGUCUCUUCUAGUGGGCUUCUCUGCAGGCCAGGUCCAACUUAUAGACCCUAUUAAAAAAGAAACUAGCAAAUUAUUUAAUGAGGAAAGACUAAUAGACAAGUCCCGAGUAACCUGUGUAAAAUGGGUACCAGGUUCGGAAAGCCUUUUCCUAGUAGCUCAUUCCAGUGGCAAUAUGUACUUGUAUAACGUGGAGCACACUUGUGGUACCACAGCCCCGCACUACCAGCUACUUAAACAAGGGGAGAGUUUUGCAGUGCAUACUUGCAAGAGCAAAUCCACAAGAAACCCUCUGCUUAAAUGGACAGUAGGUGAGGGUGCCCUGAACGAAUUUGCCUUUUCCCCUGAUGGGAAGUUCUUGGCCUGUGUGAGCCAGGAUGGUUUUCUUCGCGUGUUUAACUUUGAUUCGGUGGAAUUGCAUGGUACAAUGAAAAGCUACUUUGGAGGACUGCUGUGUGUGUGUUGGAGCCCCGAUGGGAAAUACAUAGUGACAGGCGGAGAGGAUGACUUGGUGACAGUUUGGUCUUUCGUGGACUGUCGAGUCAUAGCAAGAGGCCACGGACAUAAAUCGUGGGUCAGUGUCGUUGCGUUUGAUCCAUAUACCACUAGUGUAGAAGAGAGUGACCCGAUGGAAUUUAGCGGAAGCGAUGAGGAUUUCCAAGACCUUCAUUUUGGCAGAGAUCGAGCAAAUAGCACGCAAUCUAGACUAUCCAAAAGGAACUCUACAGACAGUCGUCCAGUAAGUGUUACGUAUAGAUUUGGUUCAGUAGGCCAGGACACGCAGCUCUGUUUGUGGGAUCUUACAGAAGAUAUCCUCUUCCCCCACCAACCUCUCUCAAGAGCAAGGACACAUACAAAUGUCAUGAAUGCCACAAGUCCACCUGCAGGAAGUGGUGGAACUAACCCAGGAAGUAAUGGAAACAGUAUCACAACACCUGGAAACUCUGUACCCCCUCCUCUUCCACGGUCAAACAGCCUUCCACACUCUGCAGUCUCAAAUGCUGGCAGUAAAAGCAGUGUCAUGGAUGGUGCCAUUGCUUCUGGCGUUAGUAAAUUUGCAACCUUAUCGCUGCACGAUCGGAAGGAAAGACACCAUGAGAAAGAUCACAAGAGAAACCAUAGCAUGGGACAUAUAUCUAGCAAGAGCAGUGACAAACUGAACCUAGUUACUAAAACCAAAACGGACCCAGCUAAAACUUUGGGAACACCUCUCUGUCCCCGAAUGGAAGAUGUUCCCUUGUUAGAGCCUCUUAUCUGUAAAAAGAUAGCACAUGAAAGACUGACUGUGUUAAUUUUUCUUGAAGACUGUAUAGUCACUGCUUGUCAGGAGGGAUUUAUUUGCACAUGGGCAAGGCCUGGUAAAGUGGUAAGUUUUAAUCCUUAAUGCUGCAUCAAAGAGCUAGAACUCUGAAUAGAUAGUUUUCUUGAAAUAUAAUGAAUGUUGAAUAUAAAAUUUCUUUAUGCUUAAUGUAAAAAAAUAUCCUCAGAGCCAUACUUUUGGAUACUGCAUGCCAUAUUUCUGAAUGAUUUGAAGUGUCUUGGAUACAAUUAUUAAAUAUAGUUGCCUUCCAGCAGAAGAAAUAAAUACUGUGCAUCUAAACUAUUGAUCAGUGUUCUUAUACUUAAGCAUAACCACAAUAUGGUGAAAGCUAUUUAUGUAAAAAUUGAAGUAAAACCUGUCAAACACUAAAAUAAUCAUAAUCCUUCUAAUGUUUUCUAAAAAAUAAGCGCUCCCAAUGAGAGUAGCUUAUGAAAAGCUGCUGCUUCUAAGUCUAAUGAGAAAUGUGAGCCUCUGAAAAGUGAAAACCAAAGUGUUUAAUUCCUCCAUUCUUUUCUGUGGUGGCCUGCCAUUAAUGUGAAACCACUUCUUAUUAAAACAUCAGCCAUUUUAUGCACAGAUUUGUGAGCCCUGUACUGACUGUAGUGUAUGCUCUUAAAUUGUGAAUCAGUAUUAACAAAGAACUCUAAUUAUAGCCAGGUUUUGAUUUAUGUAUUUAAGUUAGGGAAAAUUCUGCAAGCUUUCUCUCAGUGGUUUCAGUGUUCUGUUCCUGUCAGGUUUGUUAAGGCAGUUCAACCACUACAAGCUUGUGUUUUUGAUGGCACCUGUUCCAUCAGCUGAACCUACAUUAGUCUGUUACUAGUUUUCACUCUUGUUGUUGAUGCACUUGAACACCUACAAUAUUUUAUUUUUCUUCUGUCCAAUGUAUAAAUAGCUAAAUUUUGACUGAAGCUAAAUGUGGUGAUUCUUACAUUAAAAAGUACUUUGUGCUACAAUAGCUCUGCUUGCCAGCAACAGUUCAAAGGAAUACAGCUAUGAAAACAUUUCCAGAGUUGGUCUGAGAAAAAGAACCAUUAUUUUUUGAAAAUUUCUGAAAGGGGAUUUAGAUUAUCACCUGAAGUAAGAGAAAUGAUCUGGUAAUACCUGAGUAAUGCCAUGUUGAGCAACUUAAAUGAAAAUCUGUUGUUUGUUAGAUUUUAACCAUUUGGUUCAUAAAUCUGACUUUUGAAGUAGAGGUACUGUAUAUAUUUAGAUACCACAUCUUCAUUACUAUAAACUUGCAAGUAAAACUCAAUCAUUUUUCUUAAAAUUGUUUGUAUAAUGUAGGCUUUUUUGAGAUCUUAUCAAAUUAGUCACAACAUACGUAUGCGUAAAAAUCUGUGUCUGUUCUGCAUCUUAAUGCAUACUUAAAGGUUGAAUCUAAAACUUAAAAUUGAAAACCCCUUUAUGGGAGAAGGGAGGAGGGUGUUACCUAAAAGUAUUUUUUUGCCUGAGAACUACAAAUCCAGCAUUAAUUAAAAAAAAAAAAAAAGUACUCCCUUAAAACACUAAAAUAUUUAAAAGGUUUGCCCAAAAUGAAAGUAUUAAAGCAAUUAUACUUUUGUGACUCAGUGCACUUCACAUCUUAUUAAUUACAGCAGUGCCUCAGAUUGCUAUUGUGAGCUACAUUUUCUUUUUGUUCUAAAACUCCUUUGAAUACUAUUAAACACUACAUGUCACAUUUAUUUUUCAGUGGCUGAGGUGGGUUUUGUUAGACUGAGUAUAACUUAAAUAUUUUUGUGUAUUGACUUUGAUUUGGAAUAUGACAUUUCAAAUAUUUCAGAGAUAAAGUAUGCAGUACCAAAAAUCAGGAUUUAUGUAUUGGCCAAUAUGGAAAACUUUAACUACAGGGUUUAUUGUCAUCCCAAAACCAGGCCAAUUCUCCAAGUGGAACUGUAGUAUAGCCAUCACACUACUGCUAGCAAAUCUCUGAACACAGGACAAGAAGUAAUGGCAGUGGAACCAGGAGCUGUUCUUCAGGCAAAGAGCAUCACAAAUUAUAAUGUGGCAGAGUGUAAACAUGGAAUUAUGUGAAUCACAUAGUGACUUGCAAAGGACAAAUGUAAGGAGUUCUCACUACAGCUGAUCCUGCUAGGCUGCUCACCCAAGGAAGAGUUUGCAUUGGAGAAAAAGCAAAAAGCUUCCUUUAGUACUGCAGGAAAAAGUAGUAACAUUUUUGUUUUCUUUAUACUUUUCAAGUCCAGUGUAAUUUAAUCUCUCUAUAAAUAUAUAAAUAAAAGAUAUACAUAUAUAUAUAUAUAUAGUGUAAAAUAAGAUAUGUUUCUUAAAUUCAAGUAAGUUCAAUGGUUAAACUAGUACUUCACCAUUGUUUAUUUUGCACUGAUUUUUUUAACCAGAGAUGGCUAGAAGACAGCCUGGAAUGCACUCAUGGAAAAUGAAAGUCAUUACUUUCUGGCUUCAAAAUGUUUUUCAGGAAGAUGGAUGCUGCAAUCAUAGAUUUUUAAAAAAAAUUGUUUUGCACUUAAAUAGUUUAAUGCUUAUAGAGAAUUACUUUAAAAUUGGUGUCCAGACACCAGAAAAACUAUGUUGUGGAGAAAAGAUCCUUUGUAUCUAUUAAACAUUUAUUUUAAUAUUGUUGUUUCCAACUGCAAUGGGCUCUGUAUUAUAUGUAUAAAUAAUGUAAUUCAGUGAUGGGGGAUGGGAGGAAUGGAUCAUUACACUAGAAAUUCUCAUUCAUUUAAGAAAGUGAUAUUUCUAAUUCAGAAAAUACAUAUUAAACUAUCUUGAAUAUGCAUUUUUGUUUACUUUCUGUUCAAAUCCAAUCACUUUUGAUGUAACCAGUUCUUUGCUGAAUUAAAUGUUUGGUACAGAAAUACUACCUAAACUUUGUAGAACAAAUUCCUUUCAAAAAUAUCUUACCUAGAACAUUGCUUCAUAUUUAAUAGAAUUGAAUUUCAGUUAGGAAAGUGAAAUACAGUUGUUCUGUUCUUGUUCUUAAUGGCUUAUCCCCAAACACAUCCUGCAGUUUAAAUACAUCAUACAGCAGCAAUUUCACAGACAGGCAACUUCAUGGGGUAAGGAUUUUGUUAUUGUGUAGUCCCGUGCAUUUGGAGUUGGGAAGUGGAAGAUCCCACAGCAGUAGCUGUACACACUUUCUGACUUGUCAAUCAGAAACUGGGCUGACAUAUUGGAGUAGCAUUUCUGAGACUCAUUUGUCUUAUAUCAGGCAUCUCAUUUAUAAUUCAAUGGUCUUAAACUGAUAAGUGUGAUGGGGAUAGACAUCCACAAGUGUGGAUUUGCAGAGGUUAAUGUUGCUUGUCUAAACACUUGUCAUUUUUAAUCAGUCAACACACCACUUAACUUGUUUUCAGUAGUUCUUGCAAAGACAAACCCUCCAUGUCCAGCCCCAGACUGACAGAGAAUAGAAGUAUCCAUCAUAUGCUUCCCUUUUUCUUAUGCAGCAACGUUCACAGCUGGGAUUUGCAGAAUCCUGCAGGCAGAGUAGAACAGAGGCUGCUUGCCCAGAACCAUGAACUUGCCUGAGGGUGCACAUACUGUAUCUGUGGGCACAAGUUAGUGCCCUUCCUGCUCUCCAACAAUAAAGCUGGGUAGAAUUUUUUUAAUUACAAGUAAUCUUAAGAUAUUUUCUGGCAUGAAAAGUGAUUUGUUUUCAGGAAAUGAAUGAACAUUUGGGGAGAAGCAACUGCAGUAGCUUUAGCUAAGUCUCACCCUUGCAGUGCAGCCAGCAUGUAGAGAACUGCCAGAUCUGUUUAUAAACUGGGAAUUAGCUCCCUACUUUAUUCAAGAUGUAGCUGUGCUUUACAAUUCUUAUAUGUCUUCUUCUAAAAUAUGAGGAAUGGGGAAAAUACUGAAACUGAGCAGGAUUAUUUUUCAGAAGUUUUGUUUUAUUAACAUAGUGGGUUUAACUGUUAAAGUACAGAUAAACCUCAUCACUGAAAACUAGUGUAGUUAUCUCCCCGUAGACUUCUUCUAUGUAAGUGCUUCAUAUGGUCUGAGUCAAAAUGAAACAGUUGUAGAAAUAUGCAGUAACUUUAAAAGACUUUUUUCCUUCAGCUGGAAAAAUACAAAACCAGUAGGAAAAGAAUUGCAAUAUCCAGCAUCAGGGGAACAACAGCAGCUACUCACAUCCGUGUUGGCAGGGUAUGUCCCUGCCACAAAUCGUAGUCCAGCAGCACACAAGGAAUGUGUGUGGGUUUU